GGGUAAGUGAUUUGCUCUUCUCUCCUGUUGAACAACCAUUGACACACGUUGGUAGUUCACAGUCAGCUGAUUGGAAAUCAUUCAUCAGUGAUAAACUUGUUGAUCGCAGUGAGAAGUUUUAGCCAAUGUCAGGCAUAUAUAAAAUCACUACUUGGUAUAGAGAACAAUUAGUUACAUCUGAGUGAUACCCUGUCAAUUGCAUAUUGAUUAUUUCUUCACCCAAACAAGCAAAAAUUUCUUGCCUUUUGGGUCUUUGAACCCCUGAAUCUUGCUGCAAAUAACCUGCUUAGGCUAUCUCAGUUGAUAAGUAGGAUGAGAUGAUUA
rnacentral:misc_RNA from 1 species